GACGAACGCUGGCGGCGUGCUUAACACAUGCAAGUCGAGCGGUAAGGCCCUUUCGGGGGUACAUGAGCGGCGAACGGGUGAGUAACACGUGGGUGACCUGCCCUCAGCUCUGGGAUAAGCCUGGGAAACCGGGUCUAAUACCGGAUAUGACUCCAUGACGCAUGUUGUGGGGUGGAAAGCCUUGUGCGGCUGAGGAUGGGCCCGCGGCCUAUCAGCUUGUUGGUGGGGUGANGGCCUACCAAGGCGACGACGGGUAGCCGGCCUGAGAGGGCGACCGGCCACACUGGGACUGAGACACGGCCCAGACUCCUACGGGAGGCAGCAGUGGGGAAUCUUGCGCAAUGGGCGAAAGCCUGACGCAGCGACGCCGCGUGAGGGAUGACGG
rnacentral:rRNA from 1 species